UCUCUCCCGUCUACGUCCCUCCGUUCCUGAUUAUUUAUGGGAACCUCAGAAGGAGAUAACCGCCUACUCCUAGAGGUGCUGAUGAGGGUCCAUCUAGGCUGAUUGCGCUCACAUGGCCUCCAGUCAGCUGCCUUUGUCUGAAGGAGGAAUGGGACGUUACACUUCUCACUUUUCCGCCUCCACAGCAGUCAUGAUCCCGUCUGCUCCCAAGUCCCACAGCCACACACGCCAGGCCGGCACAGUCUUUUUCACCACGUCCUCCAACUUCACAGUGUUUCCUGGUCACUCUGUAAAGGCCCCAUCUAUACGCCAGGUCUCAGAUCUCCCUAUUUCCCAUACUAAAGGUCAGCCUUGAGGGGCAUCUUCUAUCUCAUCCUCUCCUUCAUCUGACUUAUUCCUGGAUCCAAGGCUAGCAGGGAAACCCCGGCACCUUGCCUUUCUUGUUGCAGUUGUUCCUUUACACAAACAACCUGCUUGGCCACCAUCUUACCUGCGGAUCCAUUUCUGAUCACACACACAUCAGCCAGGCCACCUCUACUGCACAAAUAUUAAAAGACUGUGAAAUCUCUAAACUUCCAACUGUUUUCAGGGCAUCUCCAGCUUCACAUGGUGCCCCCCACCUCAUCAAGCAGGCAUGCCACCUCAUACCACAUAGACGAAGACUGCCGUGCUGAGAUUCCUCCUACAGACAUCCCUCAUUCCGAUGGCUCAGCCUUGGUGGCAUGUCUACCACCCAUGGCAAGAAGCACGCAACUGCUGUCAUAGCAGCAGCGGCACACUACCACACACCACGUAGGAAAAGACAGCUCCCAAGGAUUUCCCUCCCCAUUUGCCCUUCUUUCUCAGCCUCAGCUGCACGCCACACACUCGCUCCUCCCCAACUCAUCUCUAGUUCUGUCACUGAUCAGGAGACAAAUACAUUAUAUGGCAAAACUAAUCCUGGGGCGACACAGCACACACAUCUACUAACUCCACAUAGGAACCCACAACAGCCCAGAGUGAGAGUACAGCUUGGUGAGCCGAUGCCUUUUAUUGGGGUUACUUACAGGAAUGUGCGUGAGGAGUUACAGGAGCAGAAAAGACUCAGACAGCUGCAUCACCAAAGCCAACUUCAGCACAGUGACAGCUCACAAAGCUGGGAACGGGGGAGCACACUGCACAGCCUUCAGGCAGCUCAACAGGGUAGAGAGUGGCCUUUCUGGGGGCCUCGGGUGGUCUAAACCUCUUUCAGGCAGCUCAGCUGGUUUUUCUUCCAGGCAGUCAGUCUGGCCUCACAGUCUUCUUUACAGCUCUGUUGUGCCAGUCUCAGAGGGACACUCAGCUUUUUCUACUUACUCUGGCAGGAAGAGGCUGUUGAAUCUGCUCAGUUUCAGGGACUUCCUGAGACUUUGUUGAGUUAUUUAUCCUCCUGCUCUAGGAGCGUCCCUGCAGGAUGGAAUGUUUCCAUUUUGGAAGAACCGUAUAAGGUUCUUGCUGCAAAAGCCUUAAGACCUAAGUUCAAAACCCCAGGAUUCAGGAAAAGACUGGGGGCUGUGGGUAUCUGUAGUCUCCUGCAGGGAGACAGGAAGUGGAAACAGGAGCCUCUCUGGAAGUCUUCAGGCCAGGUGUGCUGCUGUCCACAGCAGCAGACAAGACGAAGAUGGGGAAGUAGGGGGGCCGAGACUGUGGCUGUCCUCUCUCACACAUGUGCUGUGGGAUUGUGUACCUAUCUCUAUACAGACAUGAGGUGAUUGAUCCACCCUGUGCCUUAUAGGACCUGAGACCUAAGAUGCCACCCCUAACUGGGUGUGGUGGCACAUGCCCACAAUUUCAUCAUUCACGGCUGCAGUGCCUUCCAGGCUGUCCAGGACUACAAAGUGAGACCAAAAGUCACCAUUCCAGUCCAGGUGUGAUGCACACACUUCUAAUCCCAGCACUCUGGAGAUGGAGCAGGUGGAUCUCUGAGUUGGAUGUUAGUCUGGUCUACACAGUGUGCUCCAGACCCCUGGAGGUUAUAUAGUGAGACCCUGUCUUAACAACAGUCAAUCAAAACCUACACACUCCCAUGGUGGAGUUAGAAACCUCAAAUACUAGGCUAUAAUUUUUGUUUAUUUUUUGUGUGUGUGAAAAGAAUUUUUUUUCUUGAGAUGGGCUCUCCCCUGGCAGCCUGGAGCAUGCUGUGUAGACCAGACAAGUCUGAAAGUCACAUGGAGAUGUGCCUGCCUCUACCUCCAGAGCACCACCACACUCGCUCACCUGGGGAGGAUGGAGAGGGCUUCUCUCACCAGCUGAGUGACAGCACCAGUCCUAACUAGGUUUCUGGUUUAAUUUCAUAACAUUUACGCAUGUUUGUGUGUGGGGAAGCCAGAGGACAGCUUUUGGAGUCAUUUCUCUCCUUCCACCCCAUGAGUCUGAAAGAUCAAACUCAGGUCACCAGGCUUGGUGGCAAGCCCUUUACCGGCUGCGAGCCAUCUCAGCAGCCCCUAAUUAGUUACUUGUAACGAAGCAAUGCAGUCCCAUAAUGCCCCUCCCCAAACAGCCACCCAUAAUAAUUGUUCCUAUCUACCCCAGGUUCAGGGGUUUGAAUAGAAGCAGCAGAAAGCAGACUUCAGCAGAAAGGGGGGAGGGGCGCUCAGGACCCUUCCACCACACAGACUGGUCACCCCAUUGACACUUGUGGGCGGGGCCCCUGCACCGAGUCUCCAGGACAUUGAUAAAGACACAAUGAGCUGGGGUUCCACAAUACUCUGUAAACAGACUUUUCUUUUCCCCACUUCACAAUACUCCCAGUGUCUCUCUCGUGCUGUGAAUGUCUGAGCUGGUCGACUUGUGAGCAGCUGCAGGAUUGCUGAGAUGUGGCCUCAGCGAGGGCACAAAUGGAAUGGCCAUAUCUAAUGUACAGAUCUCACAAGCCAGAGAAGUCACCUGGAGAUAAGGUCAUCACUGGGGGCCAGGGAGAGGCUCCAGUAGGGUGACAUGCGCUUGCUGCCCAACCUGGUGACUUGAUUUGACCACAUGGAUUCCCAUGGUGCAAGGGCAGAAGUGACACCCUGAGCUGUCCUGUGACUGCUACACAUCAACCUUGGAUAGCACACACAUACACACAUGCUAGAGAAUCGGAGGGGAUAGGAAGGAUGUUUCAGAUUGUGGACUGGCAGGAAAAGAGGAAAGAGUGUUUCUAUGGGGUAGGGUAGAGACGGGGCCUCCGACUCACUCUGCAGACCAGGCAAGCAUUCCAUCUAAUCCUGCAGAGUGUUAGUACUACAGACAGCAGCCAUCAAGGCUGGCACGAAGAGACAGACUUCUAAGCAGCAAAAACAGCAAGAGCAAUGGUCCUGAGGCUGGACUGCCUGGUCCAUUUGGGGUAAAAGAAAGGAAGCAAGGGGGUGAGGGAUGAAAGCUGAGAGGUGACCUUACUGCAUUCGAGGUCUGUGGACAGAGUUCAAAGGUUGGAGCUGUAGUGAAUUGGUCAGACAGUUUUCAAGAAUGCAAGGGGCGGGGUGGGGGUGCAGUCCUCAAGCCACGCACAUGCGUACCUGUGGCCUCAAGCUCACAGAAGUCCACUUGCCUCUGCCUCCCCGGUUUGUGCGACACCCCUGGCUUAUCCAGAACUGGGCAUGACCCAUAAGUUACAACUGGAUUCCUGAAGCCAGGAAUCACCCAGUGUGCACAGGGACAUUUAGAUUUGUUUCUUUUUU
rnacentral:lncRNA from 1 species